UUCCGGUUGAUCCUGCCGGACCUGACUGCUAUCGGAUUGAUACUAAGCCAUGCGAGUCAUUGUAGCAAUACAAGGCAGACGGCUCAGUAACGCGUAGUCAACCUAACCUAUGGACGGGAAUAACCUCGGGAAACUGAGAAUAAUGCCCGAUAGAACACUAUGCCUGGAAUGGUUUGUGUUCCAAAUGAUUUAUCGCCGUAGGAUGGGACUGCGGCCUAUCAGUUUGUUGGUGAGGUAAUGGCCCACCAAGACUAUUACAGGUACGGGCUCUGAGAGGAGUAGCCCGGAGAUGGGUACUGAGACACGGACCCAGGCCCUAUGGGGCGCAGCAGGCGAGAAAACUUUGCAAUGUGCGAAAGCACGACAAGGUUAAUCCGAGUGGUUUGUGCUAAACAGACCUUUUGUUAGUCCUAGAAACACUAACGAAUAAGGGGUGGGCAAGUUCUGGUGUCAGCCGCCGCGGUAAAACCAGCACCUCAAGUGGUCAGGAUGAUUAUUGGGCCUAAAGCAUCCGUAGCCGGCUCUGUAAGUUUUCGGUUAAAUCUGUAUGCUCAACAUACAGGCUGCCGGGAAUACUGCGGAGCUAGGGAGUGGGAGAGGUAGACGGUACUCGGUAGGAAGGGGUAAAAUCCUUUGAUCUAUUGAUGACCACCUGUGGCGAAGGCGGUCUACCAGAACACGUCCGACGGUGAGGGAUGAAAGCUGGGGGAGCAAACCGGAUUAGAUACCCGGGUAGUCCCAGCUGUAAACUAUGCAAACUCAGUGAUGCAUUGGCUUGUGGCCAAUGCAGUGCUGCAGGGAAGCCGUUAAGUUUGCCGCCUGGGAAGUACGUACGCAAGUAUGAAACUUAAAGGAAUUGGC
rnacentral:rRNA from 1 species